GAUGAACGCUGGCGGCGUGCUUAACACAUGCAAGUCGAACGAUGAAGCUCAGCUUGCUGGGUGGAUUAGUGGCGAACGGGUGAGUAACACGUGAGUAACCUGCCCUUAACUCUGGGAUAAGCCUGGGAAACUAGGUCUAAUACCGGAUAGGAGCGUCCACCGCAUGGUGGGUGUUUGGAAGAUUUAUCGGUUUUGGAUGGACUCGCGGCCUAUCAGCUUGUUGGUGAGGUAAUGGCUCACCAAGGCGACGACGGGUAGCCGGCCUGAGAGGGUGAACGGCCACACUGGGACUGAGACACGGCCCAGACUCCUACGGGAGGCAGCAGUGGGGAAUAUUGCACAAUGGGCGAAAGCGUGAUGCAGAGACGCCGCGUGAGGGAUGACGGCCUUCGGGUUGUAAACCUCUUUCAGUAGGGAAGAAGCGAAAGUGACGGUACCUGCAGAAGAAGCACCGGCUAACUACGUG
rnacentral:rRNA from 1 species